AAGCAUCUAAGCACGAAACUUGCCCCGAGAUGAGUUCUCCCUGAGACUUUAGGUCUCCUGAAGGAACGUUGAAGACGACGACGUUGAUAGGCCGGGUGUGUAAGCGCAGCGAUGCGUUGAGCUAACCGGUACUAAUGAACCGUGAGGCUUAACCUU
rnacentral:rRNA from 1 species